UACGAAGGGGGCUAGCGUUGCUCGGAAUCACUGGGCGUAAAGGGUGCGUAGGCGGGUCUUUAAGUCAGGGGUGAAAUCCUGGAGCUCAACUCCAGAACUGCCUUUGAUACUGAAGAUCUUGAGUUCGGGAGAGGUGAGUGGAACUGCGAGUGUAGAGGUGAAAUUCGUAGAUAUUGGGAAGAACACCGGUGGCGAAGGCGGCGCUCUGGACCGAGACUGACGCUGAGGCGCGAAAGCGUGGGGAGCAACAGGG
rnacentral:rRNA from 1 species